UUUCGGAUAUGGUGAUGUCCUUUGACGCCCUCCUGUCCAACACUCCUCCCCAUCGCACCCGGAGCACCAAUGGAGCACUGAGCAGAAAUGAAGCCUGGAGUCUGCGAAAUUCCAGCUGGCAGCUUUGAUCCCAGUCUAAUGACAAAAUGACAGCUGGCCCUGCUCUUGUCUCUCGGAGCUCUGUGGUCCAUGAGGUCUCACUGCUGAGAUUGAGAACUGGUCAGUUUAAAAAAAAGUUCACACUUCCAGUGCAGGAAUCAGCGAUGAAAUGACUGCCCACUGCUGCGUCGGCAUCUGGAAUACUUCCUCUUCCUCCUCACCAUCCUCAUCAUCAUCAGCA
rnacentral:lncRNA from 1 species